UACGUAGGGGGCGAGCGUUGUCCGGAGUUACUGGGCGUAAAGGGCAUGCAGGCGGUCGGACGCGUUUCGGGUGACAGCGGGUGGCUUAACUACCCGAGUGGUCGAAAGACGGUUUGACUUGAGGACGCGAGAGGGACACGGAAUUCCGGGUGGAGUGGUGAAAUGCGUAGAGAUCCGGAGGAACACCGAAGGCGAAGGCAGUGUCCUGGCUGGUACCUGACGCUCGUGGGCGAAAGCUAGGGGAGCGAACGGG
rnacentral:rRNA from 1 species